rnacentral:rRNA from 1 species
GACGAACGCUGGCGGCGUGCUUAACACAUGCAAGUCGAACGGAAAGGCCCUGCUUGCAGGGUACUCGAGUGGCGAACGGGUGAGUAACACGUGGGUGAUCUGCCCUGCACUUCGGGAUAAGCCUGGGAAACUGGGUCUAAUACCGGAUAGGAGCCAUUUUUAGUGUGAUGGUUGGAAAGUUUUUUCGGUGUAGGAUGAGCUCGCGGCCUAUCAGCUUGUUGGUGGGGUAAUGGCCUACCAAGGCGGCGACGGGUAGCCGGCCGGAGAGGGUGGACGGACACAUUGGGACUGAGAUACGGCCCAGACUCCUACGGGAGGCAGCAGGGGGGAAUAUUGCACAAUGGGCGCAAGCCUGAUGCAGCGACGCCGCGUGGGGGAUGACGGCCUUCGGGUUGUAAACUCCUUUCGCUAGGGACGAAGCUUUUUGUGACGGUACCUAGAUAAGAAGCACCGGCUAACUACGUG